rnacentral:rRNA from 1 species
GAUGAACGCUGGCGGCGUGCCUAAUACAUGCAAGUCGAGCGAACAGACGAGGAGCUUGCUCCUUCGACGUUAGCGGCGGACGGGUGAGUAACACGUAGGUAACCUACCUAUAAGACUGGGAUAACUUCGGGAAACCGGAGCUAAUACCGGAUAAUAUUUCGAACCGCAUGGUUCGAUAGUGAAAGAUGGCUUUGCUAUCACUUAUAGAUGGACCUGCGCCGUAUUAGCUAGUUGGUAAGGUAACAGCUUACCAAGGCAACGAUACGUAGCCGACCUGAGAGGGUGAUCGGCCACACAGGAACUGAGAGACGGUCCAGACUCCGACGGGAGGCAGCAGUAGGGAAUCGACCGAAAAGGCGAAAGCCUGACAGAGCAACGCCGCGUGAGUGAUGAAGGUCUUCGGAUCGUAAAACUCUGUUAUGAGGGAAGAACAAACGUGUAAGUAACUGUGCACGUCUUGACGGUACCUAAUCAGAAAGCCACGGCUAACUACGUG